rnacentral:rRNA from 1 species
GAUGAACGCUAGCGGCAGGCCUAACACAUGCAAGUCGAGGGGUAACAUAGGAAAGCUUGCUUUUCUGAUGACGACCGGCGCACGGGUGCGUAACGCGUAUACAACCUACCUUUUAGCGGGGAAUAGCCCAGGGAAACUUGGAUUAAUGCCCCAUAGUAUAUAGACUUCUCCUGAAGUUUAUAUUAAACAUUUAUGGCUAUUAGAUGGGUAUGCGUCCUAUUAGUUAGUUGGUAAGGUAACGGCUUACCAAGGCAGCGAUAGGUAGGGGUCCUGAGAGGGAGAUCCCCACACUGGUACUGAGACACGGACCAGACUCCUACGGGAGGCAGCAGUGAGGAAUAUUGGACAAUGGGCGAGAGCCUGAUCCAGCCAUGCCGCGUGCAGGAAGACUGUCCUAUGGGUUGUAAACUGCUUUUACAGAGGAAGAACCACCCCCACGUGUGGGGGUUUGACGGUACUCUGCGAAUAAGGAUCGGCUAACUCCGUG